rnacentral:rRNA from 1 species
UGGGGAAUAUUGCACAAUGGAGGAAACUCUGAUGCAGCAACGCCGCGUGGAGGAUGACACAUUUCGGUGCGUAAACUCCUUUUAUAUGGGAAGAUAAUGACGGUACCAUAUGAAUAAGCACCGGCUAACUCCGUGCCAGCAGCCGCGGUAAUACGGAGGGUGCAAGCGUUACUCGGAAUCACUGGGCGUAAAGCGCGCGCAGGCGGCCUUGUAAGUUGGAUGUGAAAGCCUACGGCUCAACCGUAGAACUGCAUCCAAAACUACUAGGCUAGAGUGUGGGAGAGGAAGAUGGAAUUAGUUGUGUAGGGGUAAAAUCCGUAGAGAUAACUAGGAAUACCAAAAGCGAAGGCAAUCUUCUGGAACACUACUGACGCUGAGGCGCGAAAGCGUGGGGAGCAAA